AUUGAACGCUGGCGGCAGGCCUAACACAUGCAAGUCGAGCGGCAGCGGGAAGUAGCUUGCUACUUUGCCGGCGAGCGGCGGACGGGUGAGUAAUGUCUGGGGAUCUGCCUGAUGGAGGGGGAUAACUACUGGAAGCGGUAGCUAAUACCGCAUAACGUCGCAAGACCAAAGCGGGGGACCUUCGGGCCUCGCGCCAUCAGAUGAACCCAGAUGGGAUUAGCUAGUAGGUGGGGUAAUGGCUCACCUAGGCGACGAUCCCUAGCUGGUCUGAGAGGAUGACCAGCCACACUGGAACUGAGACACGGUCCAGACUCCUACGGGAGGCAGCAGUGGGGAAUAUUGCACAAUGGGCGCAAGCCUGAUGCAGCCAUGCCGCGUGUAUGAAGAAGGCCUUCGGGUUGUAAAGUACUUUCAGCGAGGAGGAAGGCAGUAAGGUUAAUAACCUUGCUGAUUGACGUUACUCGCAGAAGAAGCACCGGCUAACUCCGUG
rnacentral:rRNA from 1 species